GGGGUAAGCAGGGCUGGCUUCUUUGGUUCAGAGAGGCAAAGGAGGUGAGGCUGCAACUGGAAUCACACAGGGCAGCCAUGUACGCAGGAAGCUGUUUCUGGAAAGCAGAGAAGGAAAGAGCCUUUGACCCACGCACAUUAAUCCAAGGGCCAAAGAAAAUCAAGCACUUUGCUUCAAGCAAAACUGAGAUCUCCAUGCAGAAAGAGACAGGUCUGGGUUUGAAUCCUGGCUCCACCACUCAACAGCCAUGCACCUGGACCAAGGAGCUCAGCGGAGUGGUCACUCUCGGGAUGUCUGCAGCCAUCAUCCACAGUCCUGGGGCAAUCACUUAGGCUUCAAGCCUUGGACCUCAGUCUUCUCCAGCCAGGCUCUCAGGCUGGAGUGCAGUGACACGAUCUCGGAUCAAGUGAUUCUCCUGCCUCAGCCUCCCAAGUAGCUGGGAUUACCGGCGUGCGCCACCACACCUGGCUAAUUUUGCGUGUUUUUAGUAGAGACAGAGAUUUCACCAUGUUGAUCAGGCUGGUCUUGAAUUCCUGACCUCAGGUGAUCCAGCCGUCUUGGCCUCCCAAAGUGCUGAGAUUACAGGCAUGAGCCACGUGCCCGGUCCUUUUCCCAUUUUUAAAUUGGAUUUAUUUGUAAGAGCUCUUUGUAUAUUAAGAAAAUUAUCCCUUUGUCACAGCAGUUGCUACUCUUUCUCAGUUUGCUGUUUGUUUUCUGCUGGUUUAUUAAAUAUAGAAAUUUGAAAUUUUUUUGCAGUCAAAUUUGUUAAUCUUAUCUUUUUAUAGCCUGUGAGUUUUGUGUUAGAAAGUCCUCUGCACCACUCCAAAGAUUAUGUGAAAUUCACCUGUUUUUCACUAAUUAACCUCUUGAAUCCAAUUACAGAGAUGCAAAGUGAAGUUCAGCUAGUGAUUCUUAUCCAAUACCCUGGUAGCAUCUUUAUUAUCCCAGACUGACCACAUGCAAAUAGCACCACCUCCAGGCCAGCCUGAGAAGUCUGCACUAAGCCCC
rnacentral:lncRNA from 1 species